UUUGGAUCAGGAAUGCCACAGUCUCAGCACUGAUCCAAUGCAAACUCACCCUGCCAGGUGUAACUGGUUCAAAGAGGCUGUUCACAAGCUACCUUUGUUCCAGCAUGUUUCAGGCUUGAGCGAGUAAUGUCCACAUCACCAGCAUAAACUGACACAGGAUCCGCAUCGCCCUUGGCAAGGCUGACAGAGAGGCUUCCACGAGCCAGCAUCCAGCCCAGGCUCUGUGUGCACCACCAGAGACAAGGAAGAGCACACUGCAAACGACUCUCCUGCCCUAACAUGCACAGGACAAACCCAAACUGUGUUGCUUAAGAAGCUGGUAGGCAACAUUCAGGUACCAGCACAGAGCACCAGCCAGAGCUUGCAGAAAAUAGAGUUUAGAGGACGCAGAAGUCCCAAAAACUACAUGAUAGAUGGUCACGCCACUGAAGUAUUUAUUCAGUUUACAGCCAGUUCCCUGAGCAGGCAGAGAGAAGCACACCCAACUGGAAGAGUUAACUUCCCACACAUUUGGCCAAAAGUGCAUUUCUGGGCACCGCCACUCUGUCCAGCGUUACGCCAGGGAAACAAUGCUAAAUAAAGAUUACGUGGAGUGGUA